rnacentral:lncRNA from 1 species
AUGAAUAGUCUUCACUACUAUAAGGAAAUGGGCUAUGUUCAGUACCAAAGGAAAAAAUAUUUUUUAUACCAAAAUCCUUUAUAUCAGGAGAGACCACAUAGUCUGGGUAGGAGGAACAAGUGAAGAAACUGGAGGAAAUAAAUAGAAGGGCAGGCCAGAGGGCA